AGAGUUUGAUCCUGGCUCAGAACGAACGCUGGCGGCAUGCCUAACACAUGCAAGUCGAACGUGAAGCGGGGCUUCGGCCCCGUGGAAAGUGGCGGACGGGUGAGUAUCGCGUGGGAACCUGCCCGGUGGUACGGAAUAACCGCGGGAAACUGCGGCUAAUACCGUAUGUGCCCUUCGAGGUAGUACUCGGGGGGGAAAGAUUCAUCACCAUCGGAGGGGCCCGCGUCGGAUUAGCUUGUUGGUGGGGUAACGGCCUACCAAGGCGACGAUCCGUAGCUGGUCUGAGAGGAUGAUCAGCCACACUGGGACUGAGACACGGCCCAGGCUCCUACGGGAGGCAGCAGUGGGGAAUAUUGGACAAUGGGGGCAACCCUGAUCCAGCAAUGCCGCGUGAGUGAAGAAGGCCUUAGGGUUGUAAAGCUCUUUCACCCGUGAAGAUGAUGACGGUAGCGGGAGAAGAAGCCCCGGCUAACUCCGUGCCAGCAGCCGCGGUAAUACGGAGGGGGCUAGCGUUGUUCGGAAUUACUGGGCGUAAAGCGCGCGUAGGCGGCCUGCCAAGUCGGUCGUGAAAGCCCGGGGCUCAACCCCGGAGGUGCGUCCGAUACUGGCGGGCUCGAGACCGGGAGAGGAGAGUGGAAUUCCCAGUGUA
rnacentral:rRNA from 1 species